CCUACGGGGGGCAGCAGUGGGGGAUAUUGCACAAUGGGCGAAAGCCUGAUGCAGCGACGCCGCGUGAGGGAAGACGGUCUUCGGAUUGUAAACCUCUGUCUUUGGGGAAGAAAUCAGACGGUACCCAAAGAGGAAGCUCAGGCAAACAACGUGCCAGCAGCCGCGGUAAUACGUGGGGAGGGAGCGUUGUCCGGAAUUACUGGGGGAAAAGGGAGCGUAGGCGGGCUUGUAAGUUGAAUGUCUAACCCACCGGCUCAACCGGUGAGCGCGUUCAAAACUGCAGGUCUUGAGUGAAGUAGAGGCAGGCGGAAUUCCUAGUGUAGCGGUGAAAGGCGUAGAUAUUAGGAGGAACACCAGUGGCGAAGGCGGCCUGCUGGGCUUUAACUGACGCUGAGGCGCGAAAGCGUGGGGAGCAAACAGGAUUAGAUACCCGAGUAGUC
rnacentral:rRNA from 1 species